CAAGGCCGUAGUCCAGCGGCACACUGUUUGUCCCUCCGCCCGCGGUCGAGCGUUAGGGCUAUCGAGGCAUUAACUGUGUCCAUCUAACAUUGAGUGCCACAGUGUUAUCGAGACCACUCCGUGCAAGAAAUCCACAUACAAGCUGAUCGCUGCUGUUGGCGGGACUUCAUAAUGCGCAAAGUGCAGAUGGCAAAUCGUUGAUGCAGAUCCGAUUGACCGCCAGCUGAGUGUGGUUGUGUCACAGAAUUUCCGCGAGUUUAGCGAUCUAACAUUGUAACAAGCGCAACCAUUUAACGUGAAUGGAGGUGACUCAAUGAGGAACGUAUUCCUGACUCGCGUUGUCGCUAUGAUGAUAUACUGGAGGAGCAGAAUCGUCGGUCUGAGCACCAGGGAGAAGUUCCGGGUGAGGAAUA